rnacentral:rRNA from 1 species
GCUAAGGUAGCAUAGUCAUUUGUCAUUUAAUUGGUGACUGGUAUGAAAGGUUAAACUAAUUUAGUAAGUUUGUGUGACUGAGUAGAAGCUUAAAGUUAAGGUAAGAAUUCUUUAAUUUUCUAGGGGACGAUAAGACCCUCGAAGCUUAACGAGAGUGUGGUUAGUUUUAUAAGUAUGUUUGUUUUACUGGGGCGGUAAAAGUAAUUAAGCUAUUUAGGAGUUAAAGGAUCCUUUAAAUAAAGAAAGAAUGGAGAAGUUACUCUAGGGGUAA